rnacentral:rRNA from 1 species
AUAGCCUGCGAAAAGCUCCGGGGAGGCGGCAAAUAUCCUUUGAUCCGGAGAUGUCUGAAUGGGGGAACCCACCUACUUUAAGGUAGGUAUUGCAACAUGAAUACAUAGUGUUGCAAGGCGAACGAGG